rnacentral:rRNA from 1 species
AUGUUUACAUGGCUUUUGGUAAUCACUCUUGGCGAUGUUGAAGAUGAAUCCGAGGGCUACAUGGAGCCGUCAAAGAUUUUUGUGAAGAAGCAGGAUCAACAUGCUGGCUUGGAAAUUAAAGACCUUAGAAAACAAAAUAUCAGUCUCAUGGUCAAAUGGUGGUGGAAAUUAGAGACACAAAACGGGCUCUGGCAGAACAUAGUCCGGGCCAGGUAUCUUCGCAACAUCUCUGUUGCUGAAGUUUCUCCCAAAUUCUCCGACUCGCCCUGUUGGAAGGCCUUGCUCAAAAUCAAAAACAUAUAUAUGAUGGGCAGGAAAAUUGAAACUGGUGCUAGAACCUGA